rnacentral:lncRNA from 1 species
CUAAAGGUCCUAGCACGAGUGGGGCGGUGGAGGACCGAGGCAAGGGUAUAGCGCCGUAGAUAGCGGCCACCGGGACUUUAUGCAUUUUGUAGCCAUUUUCCUUUUUGUUAUACAUGUAUCAACUUCUUUUGUUGAUUUAGAAAUGUAAGGUUGUAAACGAUCAUGUAAUUUUGGUGGAUGGCUAAAUGUAAAAAGGAAAUGAUGGUUGAAUAGAAAUGUAAUAAUUUUAUUCGCUUGUAUUUGGUU